UACGUAGGGGGCUAGCGUUGUCCGGAUUUAUUGGGCGUAAAGAGCGUGUAGGCGGCUCAGUAAGUCAGGUGUGAAACCUCCAGGCUCAACCUGGAGACGCCACCUGAUACUGCUGUGGCUAGAGUCCGGUAGGGGAGCGUGGAAUUCCUGGGUGUAGCGGUGAAAUGCGCAGAUAGUCAGGGAGGAACACCAGCGGCGGAAAGGCGG
rnacentral:rRNA from 1 species